ACGAUAAAAAAUGGCCUACGAUAGAGAUUUUAGUUAUAUUGCUCUAUCGCGAAAAUGCAUGUUUGACGUGAUCUAUCCAUGACCCGCGAAAUUUAAAAAGAGCCACGAGCUGCAACCAGCUGCAUUGCAUCAUCCGUGACCCGCGGAAUUUAAAGAGCCACGAGCUGCAACCGGCUGCAACGCAUCGUCCGCGACCCGCAAAAUGUAAACAGCCACGAGCUGCAACCGGCUGCAACGCAUCAUCCGCGACCCGCGAAAUUUAAAGAGCCUUGAGCUGCAACCGGCUUCAACGCAUCAUCGUCAUCUAAGCAAAUAUGGCUGAAAGCGACACGGAGGAGCUGGUGAUUGCGCUCAUUUCCUGUUCAUUUUAAAAUUGUAUGCGUUCACUUUGCACUUUUAUGUUUUAAUAUCAAGUAUCUGUGCACGCACUUGGAAGAUUUUUCUUUAUUUAAAAUAGCCAUGCCUAAUACUGGCCGUAUUUCCCUAAUUUACAGUAUCUGUUUCUUUAUUAUUUGAGUUUUAUACAUUUAGCAGUUUGGCUUUCCUUAGAGUCUAUGUAACCUGUUCUGAAAUGGUUAUAUUAUGAUUUAUAUAUCGGGAUAUAUAUCGUUAUCGCAAUAGGUUGCAAUGUUUAUCGCAAUAUGGAUUUUAGGCCAUAUCGCCCAUCCCUACUUCCUGGUGAGUUAACCCGUUACCUGAAGGUUGAUCUGAGUAGUAAGGAUGUUUUAUUGGUUCUUGGGUUACUUAGGAGUUUGGUUUAUGUUGGUUUUAAUGAUUUGUUGAAAUGGUUACGGGCCACCAAGUUAUUGUUGUAAGAUGGAGUAAUGGGUUGGGUUCUGAUGUCUUCUGUCUUCUUUCCAUUACUCUCCUGAGCUCUGCAUCUUCAUCACAUGAGUGUUGCUUUACUGAUGAGGGUGUGGUCUGAGUGAGCGGAGGUGCAUACUGGGAUACAGAGCUGUCUGAAGUCUACAGGUCUGUAGACACGCCCCCUCAGGGGAAACCGAGUGUUUGAGAAACCGUUGUGACGUCAGUUACAUGGACUAGAAUGUUCUUUAAGAUGGAGACAGGGAUUCAGAAGGAGAAACACCAGGGGGAGAUGAAGGGGCUCCUCAUCUCGACAGCUAAAACACAACUUCAGUCUGACACAGAGAUCCAUGGAACACAUUCAACAGUCCCCUCCAGACAUCGUGACUCCUCAGGAACAGUUUCAUUUCCAAGAAGGUCUAAAUUGUGGCCUUUACAAGAUGGAUCCUGCUCCUCAAGAGCCACCCCCCCUCCACUGGGUGGUCUUCUGAACAGAUGACCUCCUUCCUGUCCUCAGGCUGACUAAAGCUGUACCGUUUGCAUCUGUGAACGUUGAAUCAACCUGGGACACUUUUUGGAGACGCCAAGCAUAAUCCAUCACCAAUGUGGGACGCCACUGAAGAAUGUUGUGCUUAAUUUACUGCUCUGGAGACAUCGGUUGUUCUGUUCUGGGUGCCCUGGCAGGAGAGCUGGGGUUGGAUGAUGGAAUGUUAUUUGGCAUGAGGUUUUUAUCCUGCAUGAUUGUUUGGCCUUUUAUGGUUCAGUGGUGUGUGUUUGGGUUUGUUUUGAGAUGGAUGAUUUUGGAGUAUCGCUAUAGGGUUCUACUGUGUCUCCCACUCACACCUGGCAUGGGGUUCUACGUGCGUGUGUCCGGCUUGCUUUGACAGUGAUAAUGUUCAUACGGGGGUCUGUGUGAUUGGCUUGGGAUAUUGGAAUGGUCAACUAAAUCAUACCUGAUGGACGGCCAACACCCUGGGCAGGAAGGAGAGUAUCCAACUCAAGUGUAAAAGGAUGCAAGCGGCGUGUUCAGAUCAGUGACUUCAAACUAGGACUACACCAAUCUGGAUCAAUGGAGGAUGGACACCUUAAGGAAUUCCAAAAGGAGUCUGAUGUUGGAAAGGGACCUAAAUGGAUAUUCAAGAUAACCUUCACACCUGUAAUGAGACGCCUCUUCCUACCUGGCUGGAUUGAUGGAGAGCCCUGUGGAUCUUGUCUUGCUCUCAGUUGCACGUCUUCUCAGGCUGAACUGUACUUGUUUCGGACAGGACUAGCUGAACGAUUGGUUCCCUUAAAUCAGAACCAAUCUGGGAACUCCAACUAGUGCGCUCUUCGAGCUGAAGUUGUGCUUUUCAGCUGAGGAGGUAAGGAAACCUUCACUGGGGUUUCAAGGUGUAAAGAGGAGGAUGUUUCAAAGUGUUCCACGGUAUUCUGAUGAAGACCGUUGUUGUGUUCCACUGGCUGAGAGGAAGAACCCUCACAUCUUCCUCCUGGUCUCUCUCCGCUGAGAGUCCUGGCGCCAUCUUGAAGGAUAUUCCUGCUCAUGUAACUGAUGUCACGACAGAUUCUCAAACACUUGGUUUCUCCUGAUGGGCGUGUCUAUAGAACUGAAGACUUCAGAAAGCACUGUAUCCCAGCAUGCAUCUCUGCUCACUCGGAUCACACCCCCAUGAGUAGGAUGCAACACUCUAGUGAUGGAGAUGUAGGGUUUUAAGUAACGAGGGAGCAGACAAAGGUGAUUGGAACACAAUGGCAUGUCAAGUCUGUAAAUCUUUAAACCAUGAAGAUGGUUGGAUAGUUCAGGAAUUGGGCUUCUUUUUAUUAUGGGUGGUCCUUUCACUCAGAUGCCCACUUCUCACUGGACCUGUACUUGUGUUAGCUGGCUGGCAUGAUUUGCUGUUGGUGAUGAGGCGGUCAGGGUGACGUUGCAGGGCUAUCGUCGGCUCUCUGUGAGCUCAACGUUUAGAUUUGCUCUGUAUGUUUUGUACCCAGAAUAAUCUAGAUAAUUGUAAAAUGUAGACACUGUUUUGUAUUGAAUGAUUUUAGGUUUAAAGUUGUUGUGGGACGUACAUGGUAGUUUGGUUCUUCGUCCGGUUUUGAGUGAUAUAACUUGUACACACUGGGUGCAUAAUAAUGUAAAGGCACACUGAAUAGUAGCAAUGACCAACAGCAACAAACAGAUCUCCUCAAGGUAAGUCUGUUGGCUGUGUUUUAAUGAAGACCAUCGCUGGACUUCAUGAUCUUCCUUCGUUCAGCUCAAGGUGAGGCGCUGGUUAUGUUUUUUCUUUGGUUGGUUCCGGCCGGAAUGUUCGGAUUCCAGUCGGACGGUUUGUGCUUCCCGCCGUGGAAGCUUCUGAGCGCGGUCACUUGAUUUAGUCCCAAUGGUUAGCAUAGAACGUUGUAGUCUUGACAACCAUAAGAAACCACCUGGCAGUUAGUUAGACGGGAGUCCCCUGAGGGAAUCUGGCGGAACGUUCUGGAUUGUAUUUGCGUAACCUCGAGCCGUUGCCAACGGAAACAAUUUCGUUUCCAUUGCGAAUUGUUCCCUUAUCUUAAACGACUUUAAGUUGGAUUUUAAAUACACACUGACACGUACGUCGUACAAUAUGUUGAUAAUUUCCGAUGGUUGCAGCGUACUUUUAACCACGAUGACGUGACGGGACUCUCGCUGCGUACAAAACGGCGUUCUACUUGCGGGCCCAUUUUCGACAUCAGUGAAGGCUGAAAAUCAUUGCAAGGUGGAAGACAAUUUGACGGAACCCAGCACCCGAAUAUGGCUGAGUAUAUUUUAUUUAAUAUCGAUACUGCUUAGUGUUCUUUGUUACUUCAGCUUUGUACGUUCUCAAUAUCUGCUGUCAUUAAUUGCAACAGAAGUUAAACCCUACCUAAUGAAAUUACGUUAAACAACGACUUUGGUUCAGAGUUACACACUGGAUAAUAUCAAAGCUAAAAUAAUGGCCGUCCUUCCCACAUGUUACAGUAGAAGAUACUCUAGAACUGCACAAGGUUAAAAAGGUAACAUGUAGUUUGUCCCAAGGUGUCUGCCUCCUCACCCAGAGCAAGACCUCCACCUCCUCACCCAGAGCCAGACCUCCACCUCCUGUCAGAAGUCCUCCAGAACAGCUGAAAGGUGAGGCUGAGAGGCUGGGGACCGGAGGCUUGUGGUGCCAGGAUGGACCGGAGACUGAGGCUGGAGACCAGGGGCCUGCAGCACCGGACCAGAGGACCAGGAAACUAUGUCUGGGGGAGCCGAGUUGAUGGAGGAGCAGUGCUGAUGGAGGAGCAGUGCUGAUGGAGGAGCCGUGCUGAUGGAGGAGCCGUGCUGAUGGAGGAGCAGUGCUGAUGGAGGAGCCGAGCUGAUGGAGGAGUCGUGCUGAGGGCCCUGCCUGGUGGAGGAGCUGGUGGAGGCCCUGCCUGGUGAUGGACGUCUCAUGGGGUUGAAGCAAGACUUCGCUGUUUGUUCCAGACCAGGACUCGGUCUGAGGAGAGCUGCUGGAUUCCUCAAUGUGUUUCUGGAGUGGAGGCGAGCUGGUAGGAGAGACGUGAAUCUGGAGGAUGACCAUCACUCUACCAACAAGGAUUACCAGGACUCUGGCUGAGGUAGGUGAUGGAGGAGCCAAGACUCUGGAGGACGACAUCACUCUACCAACCAGGAUCCUCGCCAGGAAUCUGGAGGACUGAUGGAGAAGCCGUACAUCUGGAAGGCAAAUCCUGAGGACAAACAGGACUCUACCAUCAAGGAUUCCUCACACACCUGAGCUGAACCCGCCCUGAUCCUGAAAUCCUGCUGGUCCCGUCUCCCCAGUUCAUCUACGCCUCGUCCUCCAGAUGACCUGUUGAGCUCAGCAGUCUGAGGCUGAUGUAUCAAUGACCUCCAGUGGGAGUGAUCUUCUUGACCCCACAUGCCAGGAAACUAUGUCUGGGGGAGCUGUGCUGAAGGAGGAGCCGGACUGAAGGAGCUGAUGGAGGAGCCGUGCUGAGGGCCCUGCCUGGUGGAGGAGCUGGUGGAGGCCCUGCCUGGUGGAGGAGCUGGUGGAGGCCCUGCCUGGUUGAAGCAAGACUUCCGCUGUUUGUUCCAGACCAGGACUCUGUCUGAGGAGAGCUGCUGGAUUCCUCAAUGUGUUUCUGGAGCGGAGGCAAGCUGGUAGGGGAGCCUUGAAUCUGGAGGAUGACCAUCACUCUACCAACAAGGAUUGGCCAGUCUCGCGCUGUUUGUUCCAGACCAGGACUCUGGCUGAGGUGAGCUGAUGGAGGAGCCAAGACUCUGGAGGACAACAUCACUCUACCAACCAGGAUCUUCACCAGGAAUCUGGAGGACUGAUGGAGAAGCCGUACAUCUGGAAGACAAAUCCUGAGGACCAACAGGACUCUACCAUCAAGGAUUCCUCACACACCUGAGCUGAACCUCACCUGAUCCUGUUUGUCUGGGGGUAGACACACCUGAGCUGAACCCGCCCUGAUCCUGACAUCCUGCUGGUCCCGUCUCCUCAGUUCAUCUGCGCCUCGUCCUCCAGAUGACCUGCUGAGCUCAGCAGUCUGAGGCUGAUGUAUCAAUGACCUCCAGUGGGAGUGAUCUUCUUGACCCCACAUUUAACGUGUGCUUCCACACGCCUUUCCCUCACGUCUGUCACUAACCUCACUACUUCACUACUCUCUACUCCUUCCUCUUUUCUGCCUUCUCUGUGGUUCAAACCUUUACACUGAAGGUGCAUCUUCCUGCCCUCAGAGGGUUUAGUGUUAGGGUUGAGAGUCAGGGACAGAGUCAGGGACAGAGCCGGUCAGGGAGGACUGCUUUUACACAAACCUCUUCACUUCCUUUCGGAAUGGUGGUGACAUUUCGAAAAGAUGCAUUUGGGGAAAUGUUUUCCUCUGCUUUCCUUUACAAAAUUGUAUUAAACUUCUGUCAAGUUCCAGACCAGGACUCUGGCUGAGGUGAGCUGAUGGCGGAGUCAAGACUCUGGAGGACAACAUCACUCUACCAACCAGGAUCCUCAGACAAAUUACGUUUGUAACCAGACCAGGAAUCUGGAUGACUGAUGGAGGAGCCGUACAUCUGGAAGGCAAAUCCUGAGGACAAACAGGACUCUACCAUCAAGGAUUCCUCACACACCUGAGCUAAACCCGCCCUGAUCCUGACAUCCUGCUGGUCCCGUCUCCUCAGUUCAUCUGCGCCUCGUCCUCCAGAUGACCUGCUGAGCUCAGCAGUCUGAGGCUGAUGGAUCAAUGACCUCCAGUGGGAGUGAUCUUCUUGACCCCACAUGUAACCGUGUGCUUCCACACGCCUUUCCCUCACGUCUGUCACUAACCUCACUACUCUCUACUGCUUCCUCUUUUCUUCCUUCUCUGUGGUUCUAACCUUUACACUGAAGGCGUGUCUUCCUGCCCUCAGAGGGUUUAGCGUUAGGGUUGAGAGUCAGGGUUUAGAGUCAGGGACAGAGCUGGUCAGGGAGGACUGCUUUUACACAAACCUCUUCACUUCCUUUCGGCAUGGUGGUGACAUUUCGAAAAGAUGCAUUUGGGGAAAUGUUUUCCUCUGCUUUCCUUUACAAAAUUGUAUUAAGCUUGUCAAGUGUUGUUUAUAUAUUAAAA